rnacentral:lncRNA from 1 species
GGUUCAGGCCUAGGCGCGGGGCAGGACGGGACCGGUGAGUGGCUCCUCCAAACAGCUAUAGAGACCCAGAAAUGCCUGUGGAAAGCUACAGAGGACUUGGGCAAGGCGUUAGAGCCGGACGUUGUGGUCCCUGGGGGAGCCAACCGGGGAGGUGCCUAUGAUCUUUCUUUCCAAGUUUGAGGGUUCAGGGCAAGCAGUUAAGAAGGGAAGAUGAACAUAAAGUAGGGAAGAGCAAAAAUGAGUUGGAACCUAAGACACGAGCUGGUCAUUCUUUCACUGUCUCCAACUUUAAAGAUAUGAGUAUCCUUGCUAGAGGAGCUGACACUUUUUGCCACAGGACUAGACACACACACAGCUCAGGAAUCAAAAAAGGUGAAGGAAGACUCAGGGAAAAGCUUCUGCCCCAUCCCAACAAGGUGAACCAGCUGAUUGGUGACAAAGUAGAUGAGCCGCAGUAGCACCUAGUGUCCCUGCACCACCGUUUCAAGUAUAAAACUGGAGGGAUGCUUCAGUUCUCCCCUUCAAGACUUACACAACCAUGUCUCUGUUGGGCUAUUCUAACCAGAAACAAAAGGAAAGGAAAUUCUGGGAAACAUAGUUUAGCUUAGCAAAGUUGAUAUAUUACAAAAUUACCACUGUCCACUCUGCAUCGAGUUGACAUCCAUACAGACCUCUUUAAAACACACUUUCAAAAUAAAGUCCACACCCUACACAUAAGCUAUCUCUAGAGAAAUUUGAAGUCUGUUGUGCACUGAGGAUAACCACAACAACAAACUGUAAACCUAGCCCAAUUUCUGACUAGACUGAUACCACCGAACCACUGCUAUGCACUCAAGAGCACUAAAGGCCUAGCAGAAGGAAAGACACACUCAUCUCCAAGCAUAAAAACAAUCUUUACUUCAUACUGUGAAGAGAGAAUUGAAAAAAUAAUUUAAGCAAAAAAAAUACAACAUGACUAACUUUUAACAGAAAGAAAAAAAGACGCAUACAGAAAGGCAAGAAAAAACACAGUCCAAAGAGAUAAAACAAUCAUUAGAACCAGAUUCAUAAGACAUAGACAUUAGAAAUAUGAGAGAAUUUUAAAUAACUGUGAUUAAUGUGAUGAAGGCCCUAAGGGGAAAGGUGAACAAAAUGCAAGCUCAGAUGGGUGAUUUUAGCAAAUAGAUGGAAACUAUCAGGAAAAAUAAAAUGGAAACUAUAAAAAUAAAAAAUAUAAUAAUAGAGAUGAAGAAUGCCCUCCAUGGGCCCAUUAGGAGACUGAACACAGUUGAGGAAAAAAUCAGACUUGAAGGUAGGUAAAUAGAAAUUGCUGAAACACACACACACACACACACAAAAAGAGUGACAGAAACAGAACACAGCAUCCAAGACUGGUGGGAAAAUAUCAACAUCAAAUCAAGAAAUAGGCGCAGUGGCUCACCCCUGUAAUCCCAGCACUUGGGGAGGCCGAGGCAGGCAGAUCACGAGGUCAGGAGAUCGAGACCAUCCUAGCUAACGCAGUGAAACCCCGUCUCUACUAAAAAUUCAAAAAAAUUAGCCGGGCAUGGUAGCAGGCACCUGUCGUCCCAGCUACUCGGGAGGCUGAGGUAAGAGAAUUGCGUGAACCCGGGAGGCGGAGCUUGCAGUGAGCUGAGAUCACACCACUGCACUCCAGCCUGGGCGACAGAGCAAGACUCUAUCUCAAAAAAAAAAAAAAAAUCAAGAAAUAAUGGCUGAGAAUUUCCAAAAUUUGUAAGACACCAAACCAAUCCAAGGAGCUCAGAGAACACAGAGCAGGAUAAAUUCUUUAAAAAGAAACUAAGCUUAUUGUAUUCAAACUAAGCUUAUUGUAUUGAUACCUGGUAGUUAUAACUUACCAAAUACACUGCCCAACAUCUCCAGAUGAUCUAUUAUUUCUGAAAGUUUCCUUUAUUACAUUUCUUACUUCAGGGAGAUAUAGCCUUCGCUUCAUGUUAUGGUUGGUGCAGUCAGUAUUCUCAGAAAGAAAGUACUGGUUCCAUUUUACCUCCAUCUUUUGUUUCCUGUCAGAAAACCUACCAUACCACCAAGUACUCCUUCUCUACACUGCCUCUGAUAUUUAAGUAAUUUGAGAAUUCUGUUGAGACUAUCUCCCUUUUUUGGUAUGAUGAAUCUGGUCCUAAAUUGCAUGCCAAAGACUUUGAGAACUAAACUGUAGACCCAGAUCUCAUGUCCCAGACUGGCCUUUUGUUACCCACACAAUGAAUGGGUUAAAUUGCUUGGCAGGGGACAGUCCAAUGACCACAACCAAGGAGGAUUUCCCAGGGGGAUUUUAUUACUUGCGAUAAGUAAGGAGGACACUGGGAAUAAUUCCCCAAAGCAAUGCCUCCCUGAGCAAUGGUGCAAACAUGGCUUUUAUUAGUCUGGUUAGCUGAGUCAUUGUAUGUAGAGGUGGAGUCAAGGCAGCGCAGUCCCAGUUGUCGGUUAUGCUGCUACAUAUGUCACAUGUAUAGAAAAUGGUGAAUAAGCUCCUCCUUGGACAGGAUUUUAAGUAUGGUGAUGAGGAAAGUUGGCCAAAGUUCAUCUCCAACUCAGGCAUCUCUGGGUCCAACUGGUCUUUGUUUUUCCUGGGCUAAGCUUCUUCCUGGAACUUUUUAAAACAAAAAUUCAAGAUGUAACAGUUACAAGUGUGUAACUUUUUCACAGUGCGUACCCAAAACCCAAGGACCCUGGGUUACACUUUAGGUGCCACCCAUGUGGGACCUAUCAGAAGAGUACUACAAAGGCUUUGAAAACUGAACUGACAUUGGAACCACAACCCUCAGAAGGCUGGUCAAAACUUAUGACUUGAACCCAAAUGGGUUAAUUACCCUUUAAAACAUAAAUAUCAACAUCCUCCACCAAAUUUAACCAAGACCCAGAGCAUCCUAAUGACAUUCAAAAUGUCCAGGAUACAAUCGAUAUUAAUUGGCAGGUGAAGAACCAGGAAAAUCUCAACUCACGUUGGGAAAAAAUGUAACAGAUGCAGAAUGUAAGUUGCCACACAUGUUGGAAUUAUCAAGACUAUAAAGCUGCUAUUCAAAUGGAAAGUUUAAAAGUCUCAGAGAAGUAAUAGAAAAUACAAAGAAUAGCCCCAUGGAAAUUUUAGAACGGGAAAAUACAAAAACCGUCAUCACAUCAUAUCCGGGGCACAUGCUGUCAACAUUGCUCAUCACUGUUGAUGUUAACCUUGAUCACCCGGCUGAGGUAGUAUUUGAUGGGUUUCUCCCUGUAAAGUUAUUCUUUCCCCUCCCCCUAUUUUACUGUUUAGUGGGAAGUCACUAUGUGCAGCCCAUGCCUAAAAAGGGAGUAGUUGGUGGGCACGGUGGCUCACGCCUGUAAUCCCAGCACUUUGGGAGGCUGAGUGGGUGGAUCACCUGAGGUCAGGAGUUCGAGACCAGCUUGGCCGACAUGGUGAAACCCCGUCUCUGCUAAAAAUACAAAAAUUAGCCAGGCAUGGUGGUGCACGCCUGUAAUCCCAGCUAUUCAGGAGGCUGAGGCAGGAGAACUGCUUGAACCUGGGAGGCAGAGAUUGCAGUGAUCCUGCCAUUGCACUCCAGCCUGGGCGAUGAGCAAAAUUCCAUCUCAAAAGAAAAAAAAGUGAGUAGUUAUAUUUCCCCUCCUUGCGGUGGAGUAUCUACAUUCUUCUGCAUGAGAAAUUUGUCAGUUAUCUCCUAUUUAUUCAAUUAUUUAUAUUAUGAAUUCAUGGAUUCCUAUUUUAUACUUUGGGUAUAAUCCAAUACUAUGUUGUUUAUUUUACUGCUCAGAUUAUUCCUGUGUUGGCCAUUGGGAACUUUUUCAGUUGACAUCUGUGUCCCUUUGACAAACUCCUGUCAUUUUGUGGGGAAGAGGGAGUAGCACUUUCUUACUUUCUACCGCUACAAAAUCCUCCAGUCUUAUCUUGUAUUUCUCUUCCCUAACCCUAAAGUCAAUCAUUCUCAUUUCUCUAAUGAUAAAUGAUGUUAAACAUCUUUUCAUAUGCUUUCUUAUUAUCUGUAUAUCUUCUCUGAUGAUUACCAAGGAUGGGAAGGGUAGUAGGGGGAAAGUGGAGAUGGUUAAUGGGUACAAAAAAUAGAAUGAAUAAGAAUUAGUAGUUGAUAGCACAACAGGGUGAUUACAGUCAAAAAUAAUUGUACAUUAUAAAAUAACUAGUAUAAUUGGAUUAUUUAUAACAAAGGCUGAAGGCUUGAGGUGAUAAAUACCCCAUUUACCCUGAUGUGACUAUUACACAUUGCAUACCUGUAUCAAAAUACCUUGUAUACCCCAUAAAUAUAUAACCUACUAUGUACCCAUUUAAAUAAAAAAAGUUUUUAAAAAAGAAAUAGUGCUGAGACAAUUGAAUAUCCACAUGCAAAAGAUAAAGUUUGACAUUUAUCUUACACCAUACACAAAAAUUAACUCAAAACCAACCAGAGACCUAAAUGUAAGAGCUGAAACUAUACAACUCUUAUGGAAACAUAGGCAUUAAUCUUUAUGGCUGUGAAUUAGGCAAUAGUUUCUUAGGUAAUACACAAAAAUCAUAAGCAACAAAAGAAAAAAUUGGAUGUUAG